GACGAACGCUGGCGGCGUGCUUAACACAUGCAAGUCGAACGGAAAGGCCCUGCUUUUGUGGGGUGCUCGAGUGGCGAACGGGUGAGUAACACGUGCGUACCCUGCCCUUGACUUUGGGAUAACUUCAGGAAACUGGGGCUAAUACCGGAUAGGAGCUCCUGCUGCAUGGUGGGGGUUGGAAAGUUUCGGCGGUUGGGGAUGGACUCGCGGCUUAUCAGCUUGUUGGUGGGGUAGUGGCUUACCAAGGCUUUGACGGGUAGCCGGCCUGAGAGGGUGACCGGCCACAUGGGGACUGAGAGACGGCCCAGACUCCUACGGGAGGCAGCAGGGGGGAAUAUUGCACAAUGGGCGGAAGCCUGAGGCAGCAACGCCGCGUGCGGGAUGACGGCCUUCGGGGUGUAAACCGCUUUCGCCUGUGACGAAGCGGGAGUGACGGUAAUGGGUAAAGAAGCACCGGCUAACUACGUG
rnacentral:rRNA from 1 species